AGUCCUGUGGUCUAAUGGUACGACACCGAUGGGCACUGUUGCAAGUUUGGUGAUUGCGAGUUCGACUCCCGCCAGGACUG